UGAUAUCACAGGUCAUGAAAUUCGAGGAUCUCAAGGAACUCGGCAAUGAACCUGCAGUCAAGGCUGCAGGAAAGUACAGACAGGAGGGGAAAACAUAUGUUGUUCAGGACGGGGAUAUCAUUUUCUUCAAGUUCAAUGUUUCUGGUGGUGGGAAGAAAUGAGACCCAUCUCUCUACCUAUUCGCGGUAUUCUCUCUGGAUCUGAAAGCUUUAUCCAGUUCCGAGAGAGGAACCGAACUGUAUUUUCUGUUCUGAAAGUUACAGUUUUUGAGUGUAUUUUCUUUACCAAACAAAAAAAGUAUUUUGUAACUCUUGUUCGGUUGUUCCUUUUACUUUUCAGCUUAGCUAAGACAUGUCUUUUACCUUGAGACAGAGCAUUAAGCCUACUAUAUCGUUUACAACUCUUUCAAUAAGUUUUUCUCCA